rnacentral:rRNA from 1 species
CAGCGCCCCGAGUGGCAGUCACAAUUAUUGGGCCUAAAGCAUCCGUAGCCGGUUAUGUAAGUUUUCGGUUAAAUCCAUAUGCUCAACAUCUGGGCUGCCGGGAAUACUGCACAACUAGGGAGUGGGAGAGGUAGACGGUACUCGGUAGGAAGGGGUAAAAUCCUUUGAUCUAUUGAUGACCACCUGUGGCGAAGGCGGUCUACCAGAACACGUCCGACGGUGAGGGAUGAAAGCGUGGGGAGCGAACAGGAUUAGAUACCCUGGUAGUCC